GGCUGUAAAGCAGAGCCAACAUGAAGCAGCCACUGCUCCACUGCUCAUGAUAUUAUAAACAGAAAUGGUUACAUUACAAUCAUGUUUACAGAAACAUUAGUUAAAUACAAAGACAACUGCAGUGAUAUGUGAAACAAAAAUGACUAAUUUAAAAGGCCUUCAUAUCAACAUAUUUGCCUGUGAGAAAUACAAUAUAGAAGAGCACAAGCAAGAAAGCUGUAAAAUAUAAGUUAGAUUGUGUGAAAUGCUGCAUUUUGGUAACACAUAGCUGCCUCAUUUUGUAUAAGCAUUAGCUCUAGAGCCGAUUUGGGGGCAUCUUGCCGGACAUAGCCUUAGUGGAUGGGUCAUCCAAAACUUUGUCCAGUGAACGAUACUGCAAUUUUACACUCUCUGCAUUAUCCAAUGUCUUCACCACAUACCUGUAUAUGACUCGUGCAUCAGUUAAUGAAUAAUCAUCCGAGUUUUCACAAGGGAAAAUUUUUUUACCUACACAACAACCAUUGCAUAAAACUUUAUUCCCAACUGACAGUUCUAAUUUCAACUAAUAGGGUACCACAUGAAUCCUGACAAAUCAUUAAACUUUAUUUAGUAUAAUAUCCUUCUUUGAAUCUACUUUGUUAAAAGCAGAUUUCAUGUCCAUAUAUCUGCAUAUGCAUAUUUUUCAACAAAAGGAGGCCUUUAAAGUAAGAAGGAAGAGCAAGUUGGAGGUAAGAUAUACCCUUCUCAAGGGAAUGAAAAAUGUAUAUCAAGGAAAAGGAGAAAGAAAAGCCAAGUAGCCAACUUGUAAUGAAGCAACACUCAACAUGCAUAGACAUUUAAUAAGACAUGUAAGUGCAAAUAAGCUCAAAAGAUAAAUGCAUUGAUUAAUAUAAGAAAUCAAUUCAGAUCAAUCUCUUUUUAUAUUGGACAAUAUGGCAAACCUUAAAAUCUGCUAUAAUUAAAAAGAAGACAGCAAGAAAGUGUCAAACCAUCCAUUUAAGCAUUGUGUUGUCACAACAGCCUCACGCCCAACAAAUCGCUGAGGUGUCCUCUUGUUUCCCUGCUUCAUUAGCCCUUUUAACAUUAAUUUCAAUUAACUAAUGAAUGAGAAUACAGCUAACACUUGGAAGCUUUGCUGGAAGGGAGAAAAAAAAAAAACACCUUUAUAAUAACCCGGUCUGUCACAACAAAUGGGAACUGCACGCCUCGACCCCUUGGUGUAUCUAUUCCAGGUGAAUCACCAUAAACACCUUUGUCCUGCAUGGAAAGAAAAGGUGAUUUAAGAUAAACCAUCAAAAACAAUACAGCGAUAGUUGUAAUGCAGAUGGUGUGAAUAAUUAUUAGAAAGCAAAAUAGCAAUAAGCCAUUUGAGAAUACUGAAAAACAGUAAUUGAUCAACAGGGUUUCAUAAAAACAGUUCAGCUUAACUGCCAGUCUGUCACGAUUCACUACAUAACUUGGCUGCUCCAUUAUUAUUUUCUCUUUCUAAAUUCCUCCGCACAUAUACUACUUUUAAAGUUAUUUUUAAAAAUUUUACAUUUUAAAAAUUUUAUAUUAUCAGAAAAAUCCAUGGCAUGAAGAAGACAAACCUGGUCAAACCUCUCUCUCCUCCUUUUGGAUAAGCGAUAAAAUUGUAACUCCUCUUCCCGGCGGAAUGCCUGCACUGCAGCUCGGAGAGCUGUACAAAUGUGAUCACAAAAGACUACAAUAAGGAGAACGGGAACUGCAAUUAAACCAGUGUUUUAUAUUUGUCUUUGGCCCUGUUUGGCAAUAUUAAUUGUUUUAAUAGCUGCUAGCCGUUUCAAUAGCUGUUAGUCGUUUUACUAGCAGUUAUUAGCUAUUAAUGGUUAGCUGAUAGAUAUUAGCUAUUAAUGGUUAACUGUUUAUAUGCCUAUUAAAGUAAAAAUAUUCGGUAAAAAUGACUGUUAGAUUAGCUGUUAAACAUAAAAAUAGUGAUAAAAGCUUGUCGACCUUAAUCAAAACGCUCCCUCAACCUUUAAAAGCUAUGAGGGAUAGCUUUUCAUGAACCACUCCCUUAAUUUUCAAAAGUUAGUAUAAACAUUAUGUCACCGAACAGCAUAAAUAAGAUAAGUAGCGUUUUGACCAGAGUCAAAACACUAAACGCUACCUUAAAAGCUAUUGCCGAACAGGGUCUUUGUCAUAAUAAGUAUGAUCUAUCCAUCCCUAAUUCUUGCUGCCGCUCUUAAUAGUUAUCUGAAUGAUUUGGUGAAAUCUUUACCAUUAAAGUGAAUUAAUAGGACAAAAAAAAUUACCACUUACAGAGAUUAGGAGCUAUUGAGUCUUCAGAAACUGACUGUGAACAAGUGUAGCAAGAUUUCUGAAAUUGCAUUCAAAAGAAAUAUCAAAAUCAUUUUUCAUGACAAGGGUAAGAAUACUGAGAAGUGCAGGCUCAUGCCCACACACAAAAAGUAUCAAAGAUAACAUAGUUCAAAGAAAUUGGAACAAUAGCCAUGAACAACUAAAAGAAAGAUUGUUAUUGAUCAUUGCUAGACAGGUGUUACAUACAUGUGUCCCAGACGGCUCAUCUAUAAAUGAGAGUAAAAAAGCAAAUGAUCAAUGACAAGAAGACAAUGCAUUCAAGUAAGCAUAUCUUAUGCAAAUAAUUAAAACAGUUCUAUGAUACAAAUAUUAGUCAGGUAUUGAAGGAAUGAUUCGGUCCAUACAGCAGAAAAAAAAGGCCAAUGAAAAUCACAGAACAUCAAUAUUAGUUAAGAGAACAAAUUUAUGAUAGGGCAUCAACUGCACCAACACAGCUGUUUGACACAGACGACUGUGUAGAUCUCAAUGUAUUGUUUGAAAACAGAUCAAUAGUAACAAUAAAAUGAUAAUAGAGCUCCAAUAUGCUGCUUCAUCAAGUCUACAAGGUGAAGGGAUAACCAGAAAAAGUAUAGUCAAAUUGCUAUUUGGUGAUGAGCUACUUUUUAUCAGCAGUUAAUACAUGACUUUCUAAUAUGCACAACAAAAUUUACCAGACGCUAGACAUUUCAUACUAUAUUAAUUUUCCCUACAUCUUGAAAUGAAUGAUACCAAAAGCCUAAAAAGGUCUUUGAAUAAGAACUUACCAUUCUGAUAACGUGUUGUAUUCCACCAGCUCCAAAAGAAUGUCCACAUGGCAAUAUCAUUGCAUCAUCCAUUAGAGCUCCCCUGAAUCGAAAAGCUAACAUAAAUAUGUAACACAAGUGAACACUCCAGCAAGCAGAAAGUUCGCAACAAGAAAGACAAAAGAACAUUACAACAUAUCAAAGUCAACCAAAACAUAAAACGUGCACCCUGAGCUCAAGCACAUUCUCCUUGACAAAUAUAAAAGGACUUCUCUGUUUCACGCAAAGUAUAGUUUGACCAUAAACAAACAAAAAAUACAACAUACAAACUUACGUGACUGAGUCCGAUAGAAUGGCGCUCAAGGAGUCUCCAGAUUCGCAUGAAAACGACGAACCUUCCUUUCUUCCACUAAAACCACAACCAUCACCUCCCAUAUCCUUCCCCGCACUACCAGACCCCUCUGUUCCCUGCAAAUACUGAGUGUAAUACAUAUGCCCAUCAGAUUCUGCUAUUGUCACUGUAUUAUUCCCCGUUUGGCCUACACUCCCACCUCCAUCUUUUACCGCCAUAAUUUCUCCGGUAGCCCCAACAAAAGAAGGAUGGUGCUUGGGCUUUCCAUUUCCAUUCCCCAUUUUAUCUACAUUACCAGUAUUGCUAGUGGUACCAGUAGUAGCGGUUGCAUCGUUGUUAUUGCUUUUGCCGCUAUUAUUAUUGUUAUUAUCGUUACUAGUACUAUUAUCAACACCAACCAGUGCCUCCACUUCAUUAUCAUGGUCACCAUCACCACCAUCCACGCCAUCAUCAUCGACCUCGUCAUAUUCCUCACCGUCUGAUUCAUCGCCGCGGGUCCCGUUCCCGUUCCAAUUACGAUUCUCCCGGUACAUAUUGCGCAGGAAUUGGGGACCGCCCUGGUGGGAGGGGAAGUAACGGUUGUUGGCGGCGGCGGAGUUGGAGGAAGAGAAAAGCUUGUCAUCGAUAAAGCCAGUGAGUUCUCGGGUAGUGGUCAUGCGGCCCCGAUGCCCUCCGACGCGGCGCUGGGGAGGCCCGCAGUUGAAGCGCAAGGGAUCAUUUUGGAAGACGAGCUGAGAAUUUAGGCCAUUUUGGGAGGGAACUAAGGAGAUUUCCUCCGUUGACAUAAUUUUGGAGGUCAAAUUGCAUGAAAAUGGAACCCUAAUUUUGAUGAAUUGAGCAUGAAUUUGAUUUACCUGAAGAAAGGAGUGA
rnacentral:misc_RNA from 1 species